rnacentral:rRNA from 7 species
UUUGCAGCCCAUGUCUGUCUUGGUCUCAUUUGUUCUCGGAAGAUAAACAGGUCCAGGUCUGGGAUGUAUUUUGAAGAGAGACCACCUGGGAACCACAGAAGCCAUCUACAGAC